rnacentral:rRNA from 1 species
UCUACGGGAGGCAGCAGUGGGGAAUAUUGGACAAUGGGCGAAAGCCUGAUCCAGCCAUGCCGCGUGAGUGACGAAGGCCUUAGGGUUGUAAAGCUCUUUUGGCGGGGACGAUAAUGACGGUACCCGCAGAAUAAGCUCCGGCUAACUUCGUGCCAGCAGCCGCGGUAAUA